rnacentral:rRNA from 1 species
UACGGAGGGUGCAAGCGUUAUCCGGAUUCACUGGGUUUAAAGGGUGCGUAGGCGGAUAGGUAAGUCCGUGGUGAAAUCCUGCAGCUUAACUGCAGAACUGCCGUGGAUACUAUUUAUCUUGAAUAUCGUGGAGGUUAGCAGAAUAUGUCAUGUAGCGGUGAAAUGCUUAGAUAUGACAUAGAAUACCCAUUGCGAAGGCAGCUAACUACGCGGUAAUUGACGCUGAGGCACGAAAGCGUGGGGAGCAAACAGG